rnacentral:tRNA from 1 species
GCGCACGUGGCGGAAUUGGUAUACGCGCUAGGUUGAGGGCCUAGUGAGAUUAACUUCUCGUGGAGGUUCAAGUCCUCUCGUGCGCA